GCGAGGCCAGGCCGCGGGGACCCGCCAUCCCAGCGGGGCAGGGCGCCCGGGUGCCCCCUCGGGGCCCGCGUCUCCGGGAGACUCCGGGUUGGGAACGGGGGUCAACGAGGUCGCCCUUUGGGCCUUAGCCAACUUGGGCCCUGCGGGCGCGUCCCCGCCCAGCCAGGUGUCGGUGCGCGGCCAAGCCGGACACCGCCCAGGGUGAGGACCAGGGACCCGGCCGGGGCCGCCCGCGAGGCCUGAGCCCCGCCCGCGAGCGCCCUGCUGCGCCGGGUCCCGGCCCCACCCUGGAGAGGCCCCGGGGUCGGGCUCGCACGGUCCCUGAGGAAGAGAGGGCCGGGUCGCAGCAUCAGGAUGGAUCUUGUGCAGCGAUUUCCUGCCGCCGAAUUAAAGUGUAACCAGUGGUUUAGCCGGGGCGAGGAAGGAAGUGAAAAGGCUGGGAAAGGGAUGACAUUUUUCCCCUGGGGACGCAGACCCACUGCGAAGUUCUUCCACUGUGUUGUUUGUGUUCUGUGUCUUGCCUUUAAAAGACGAAAUUAUCUGGAUUCUGACAUCCCCCUUUUCAGGCCUGCUGAGUCACGGAAUAUUCUCAGCGCCAGAAUGACUCAGUUCGCAGAACCUGAGCCAGAAGAUCAUGAGUUUCAGUCCUAGAUCAGAACCUGGGCACUGACCCAGUGCAGAUGGAACAGGACAGGCGGAGCGAGUGCUGUGAAAUGGACCAGCAGAAGGCAGCGGUUCCUAGACCUUCGGGUCCUGAGCAAAGCGGAUGCACGAAAUCAGUGCACAAGAUGGAUUUUUAACUUGUCAGAAAACACUCCAGAGAAGACUUCUCUCUACAAGGAUUUCUGUAAAUAACUUCCAGGAAGGCUGCUCAUGAGCCUGUGUUGGUCGCUGGCAAAUCCCUGGGCAUUCCCACCCUGGACAGAUGGAUGAAUAGAAAAGGUACUAGCCUACCGGAAACCAUGGAGCUUGGAGCAAAUGUUUAAAAAAAAAAAAAAAAUUGCAGUUCACAAGGCAGGGUUUAAAACAAGAAAGUCUAUCAGGUAUUAGAAUGUGUGACACAAUUAGAAAAAUAAUUAGAAAACUUGUAUUGACUUUCAAGAUUGCAGUUUGCCAAGAGGCCGGCAGCAAGGGCUCCAAAAGCCCCACAGCCUGAUGGGCCCUGAGCUGCGGGGACACAGGCCCCUUCCUGAGAGGAGGCAGUUGUUCACACUGCCUUCUGGACCAAGAAAAGGUGUUUUCACUUAGGUCUUGGGGGACUCUGAGGUCCACUGGCCUUGUCGGGAUCUCUUAGGCCACAUGACCAGAACUUAGAUAGGACAGAACCCGAGGUGGGACACAUCCCCAGGAUGGGCGCCAUCUCAGGGUCACCACCACUGACGUUCUAGAAGCAGGCCCAGUUUGUCACAAAGUCACCGACAGCAGAACCCUGCUUCUCCCCAGGCUGCCUUUCUGGUGACUUGUUCUGGGCCUUAGCUGGCACCCUUCCUCCCAAGCCUGCAGUGACCGCUGGUCAUUUCUCCCAGGCUAGGCGCAGACAGUCACACUGAAGUGCUCUGGCAGAACCGGGCAUAGUGCCACAGGCCUGUAAUCAUAGCUCUGGGGUGCUGAGGCAGUAAGAUUGCAAAUUUGAGGACAGCCUGGGUAGGUUAGGGACUUAAUUAGAAAUUAUAUCAGCAUUGCGGAUAUAGCUCAGUGGCACCAUGCCUGCCUGGCAAGCUCAAGGUCCUGAGUUUGAUUCCUGGUAUUA